UAUAAAAUUAAAUGUGCUGACAACUCCGUCAUGAUAUUGUAUACCAAUGUAAAGCUUGUACUCGCUGUCGUGGCGCUACAGGCCUGUUUGUAAAAGUAUGCACAAGAAAAAUAAAGAAUUUUAAAAAAAAUAUCACCAUUUGAAAUACCCUAGGGUGUCUACUUUUCAAAAAUAUAUGGUUUGAUGGGGGUAAAUUACAUUGGCCGGCUUCAAAAAUGUCCCAAAUAGGACAUGGGUGGAUGAUGAGCAGCUGAGAAAAUUUCAAGAUGGAAAACUGGAAUGCGC